GUGGUGUAAGGCGAACAUCGCUGCCCGGAAAGCAGAAGAUGCGGGUUCGAGCCCCGCC
rnacentral:tRNA from 1 species